UACGUAGGGGGCAAGCGUUGUCCGGAAUCAUUGGGCGUAAAGGGCGCGUAGGCGGCCACCGCAAGUCAAUUGUGAAAUCUCCGGGCUUAACUCGGAAAGGUCAACCGAUACUGCGGGGCUAGAGUGCAGAAGGGGCAACUGGAAUUCUCGGUGUAGCGGUGAAAUGCGUAGAUAUCGAGAGGAACACCUGCGGCGAAGGCGGGUUGCUGGGCUGACACUGACGCUGAUGUGCGAAAGCUAGGGGAGCGAACGGG
rnacentral:rRNA from 1 species